rnacentral:rRNA from 1 species
UGGGGAAUAUUGCGCAAUGGGGGGAACCCUGACGCAGCCAUGCCGCGUGAAUGAAGAAGGCCUUAGGGUUGUAAAGUUCUUUCGGUAUUGAGGAAGGUUGAUGUGUUAAUAGCACAUCAAAUUGACGUUAAAUACAGAAGAAGCACCGGCUAACUCCGUGCCAGCAGCCGCGGUAAUACGGAGGGUGCGAGCGUUAAUCGGAAUAACUGGGCGUAAAGGGCACGCAGGCGGUUAUUUAAGUGAGGUGUGAAAGCCCCGGGCUUAACCUGGGAAUUGCAUUUCAGACUGGGUAACUAGAGUACUUUAGGGAGGGGUAGAAUUCCACGUGUAGCGGUGAAAUGCGUAGAGAUGUGGAGGAAUACCGAAGGCGAAGGCAGCCCCUUGGGAAUGUACUGACGCUCAUGUGCGAAAGCGUGGGGAGCAAACAGGAUUAGAUACCCUGGUAGUCCACGCUGUAAACGCUGUCGAUUUGGGGGUUGGGGUUUAACUCUGGCGCCCGUAGCUAACGUGAUAAAUCGACCGCCUGGGGAGUACGGCCACAAGGUUA